CUCCUGUCUGUAAAAGAACUGACUGCAUCCAACGCCUCUGAACGGUUGCACAGGACCAGAAGUUAUAUAAAACAGCUGGACUAAAAUACAACAUUCUGUUCAGUAGACUGAAUGGCCUGCAGCACAAUUCCAGGGCAUUCUGAUGAUUCCUGCUGCCCACACCCUCACCGUAAACUGUGCUAGAAAUUAUUACUACCACAAAAAUCCUACAAAGACUCAAACCUCAAGUACUCAAAGGAACUCUGCUGCACAAGAGACUUCUGUAAGGAAUCAAGCACUACACUCAUGUGCCAACUCUUGCCCACCAGAACAGACACCAAACCCCACACCACAGUUCUGCAACGUCAUACUCAUACAUUAUUUUGCUAUUGCACAUUCUUGUAUUAUUAUACUCAGGGAAAGGCAUGUUCAGAAUCCUUGUUUCCUUUUUUCCUC